rnacentral:rRNA from 1 species
AUUUGCCUUUUAAUUGGAGGCUAGUAUGAACGGAUAAACGAGAAUAUGGCUGUCUCACUACCAGUAAUGAAAAUUAACCUUCAAGUGAAGAGGCUUGAAUUGUAUAAAAAGACGAAAAGACCCUAUGGAGCUUUACUUACAUAGAGAACGAGGCACAAUAAAAAAACUGCCAAACUCCUAAAUAGUUCAGUUGGGGCGACUGAGGAGCACUAUUAAAGCCCCCUCAACACACAAGAAAAUAAAUCUAUUAAAAAUCCACAAACGUGAAUAAAGAAUCAGCUACCCUAGGGAUAACAGGCUAAUCCUUCUCGAGAGCCCAAAUUGACAGAAGGGGUUGGCACCUCG